GGCACCUCAGAAUCGGCUGACUUGGCCUGCUCUCCUUGAUCAUCCAUUUGUCAAAGAAUGCUCCGUUGAAGAAGAAGCCGUGGAGAUACAUGCUCCUAAUUCAGCAACGCGCAUUUGCUCUCCUACAGAGGAGUUCCCUGGCUUUGCAAGUCCCAACGACAUUGAAAAGAAAGGUUGUCAAGCACUCGACAAGCUAGUGAACAACUCCCGUACAGUCAAA